UACAGGGGGGGCAAGCGUUGUUCGGAAUUACUGGGCGUAAAGGGCUCGUAGGUGGCCAACUAAGUCAGACGUGAAAUCCCUCAGCUUAACUGGGGAACUGCGUCUGAUACUGGAUGGCUUGAGUUUGGGAGAGGGAUGCGGAAUUCCAGGUGUAGCGGUGAAAUGCGUAGAUAUCUGGAGGAACACCGGUGGCGAAGGCGAGUCCCUGGAAAACACCUGACACUGAGGCACGAAAGCUAGGGGAGCAAACAGG
rnacentral:rRNA from 1 species